rnacentral:rRNA from 1 species
UACAGAGGUCCCAAGCGUUGUUCGGAUUCACUGGGCGUAAAGGGUGCGUAGGUGGUUAGGUAAGUCUGAUGUGAAAUCUCUGGGCUCAACCCAGAAACUGCAUUGGAUACUAUCUAGCUAGAGGAGUGGAGGGGGGACUGGAAUACUUGGUGUAGCAGUGAAAUGCGUAGAUAUCGGGAGGAACACCAGAGGCGAAAGCGGCGACCUGGACAAGUACUGACACUCAAGUACGAAAGCGUGGGGAGCAAACAGG